GCCUGGGCGGGAUGGGGAGGUGAUUGACAGGUAAUCGUCCUAUCGCGUGGUCCUGUUCGGUCGCUCUGAUUGGCCCCACGCUCUCUUUCUUCCAACCUUUUCUACCCCCCUUCCUGGGGGCCCUACCUGGGGGCCCUUCCUGGGGCCCUUCCUUCCACCACGCGGCGCCGCGCCAACCCUGGUUUCCUGCAGGCAGAUGCUAUUAACCACUUCCUGUGGAUACUGUAAUGAUGUCACUUCCUCCUGACAGCUCGCCCCCUCCUCCUCCUCCUCCAUCUCCUCCUCCUCCUUUCUGGCCAAUCGCAACUGUCACUCGUUUACAACAGUGGAUGAACUGAUGAGGAGGGGAGGGGGGCACGGGGGGGCUCUGCAGCCCCCCGGACAGACUAACGGACGGACAGAGAGAAUGAAAAGAAAGAAAGAAAUGAAAAAAGAGAAAAAACACAGACACAAAUAACCUCCCAUGGUGCAUAAAAACUACCCAGAAUGCCGCACGAGGAACUACGUCGUCCAUGUUAAAUAGUAAAGUAUAAUCGAAUAAUCCCAUUGUAAUACGUACAUCAGCAGGUGCAUAACCAAAACAACUAGCCUGAGGCCUAUAGACUUUGCCGCUAGAUUUCAUAUUUUAGAAGAACAGUCGUGCCCACAUACUGGUAAUAUGAGACGAGGGCUAAAAAAUACGUCAGUUAAUAACAUUGUUGUUUUGUCAGUGUAUUCUGGAAAGUAUUUAUUUGUGUGAUUUUUUCGCAGCACUAAAACUUUGAAAUAGUUAAGAAAAAAAAACGUUUUGUUUUUUUGGUUCUUAAUUUCGGGGGUAAAAACUGGAAAAACUACCGAGGAUUUCCAAUCCAGGGGAGGGAGGUCACUGUAAACGUGUGUUUCAGACAAGAAUGUUGGUUCCGUUCUUUGAAUGUACUUUAAUGUCUAGGGUGUCCAGCCACCAGUAUGUAUUCUUUUUCUGUAUAUAAAUAUAUAUACAUAUCUAUUCUAUGGGCUGUGGUGAUGUCAGGGAGUAGGGAGGUUGGGAGAGCAAGCCGUUGUCUUUAUUGCCCCCAACAUAGAUAUCAGACCCCCCCUCCCACCAAUCCCUCCUUCCUACUGUCCAGUCCUGGUUUAUACUGUAACUUGUGAUUCUGUGAUCUUUGAUUGAAAGUGAUGGUUGUGUCUGUGAGAACCGACCUUCCCCGCACAAAAACACACACAAACAGACACACACACACACACACACACACACACACACACACACACACACACACACACACACACACACACACUGAACCAACAGGACAGUGGCCGACCCACCGAUGUUUUUAGAUCAAUCAAAUGUAGACCUUUGCAAUCCACGUGACAAAAAAACAACAACAACAUAGGCAGUUAUCGGACGCGUCGGACUCGACCCGGCCCGUCCGUCAGUCGACUGCGUCGGAGCUCCUGCACACAUUCAGCGCUAAAUUGGAGGCAAGGUAGUCGCGUCGGAAGAUAAAAGUUCAUGAAUAUUGAUUCAUCUUCCGCCGGAAUCAAAGCGGGAGUGAAAUCGCAUCGCUGCUUUCUGCUUUUCUGAUCAAGAGGCUCGCCGCCGGUAGGUGAGGCGGCGGCCCCGGCCCUGUGUGCAACGUUGACGUGACCUACUUUCCGUCGCCCGUCAGACCCGCUGGAAGUUGUGGAGUAAGCUGGCGCUGCGCUAAUUAAAGGCAGGCGGGCCAGAGCAGCAUCUGAGGGCGCCGCGGUUAGCUAUAGCUUGUUACGCUAAUCCCUAGCCGCCUCCCCUCCCUCCCUCCCUCCCUCCCUCACU
ensembl:lncRNA